rnacentral:lncRNA from 1 species
UUUUUCCAAACUAAAAAGGGACCCCGGGGCGUGACAUGUGAAUUUAUGUUUAAAUAUUGAAUGGAAAAAUGUGAAUCUGUGGUGAAUGGUGUAUGAAUAUAUAACUGUGGUUAUUUGUAUGUUCAUCUGGUUGUGGUUGUAUCAUGUUUGAACUCUUGUACUUGGGCGACGCCGUGCAAAUACAGGGGAGACUCUGUCCGUGUGAACAGUGGAUCUCCUGUAUUUGUGGCGGAUCUGGUAUACCCUGGGGUCAGGUUUUUAAAAAAAAAAUUUCAGACGCUUUUCCGCUAUACUUUAAACUAAAAAGGGACCCCGGGGCGUGACAAUUAUAUUGAUUCUUACAUUUUAUUAUUAUAUUAUCUCAGAUGUCAUUGGAAAGCUUUCUCGAAUUAGUAGAAUGGAAGAAUCGAAUUAGUAGAAUGGACGAAAACUGCAAGGACAGUAAAAAAACAAAAAAGAUUACGAUACUACUUGAGGAUGACAUGUGUUUAUAAUUAUAGAUAUAUCUUUUGAAUGUUUAUACAUUUUUUUUCAGUUAGCUACUGAUCUAUACUAAUAAAAACGUUAGUUUUGAAUUUUUUCCUCUUUCCCAAAAUACCGAUCCCUAUUAAUAUAAUAUCUUCCGCAUAUAUAAUAUUUAAUCAUAUUUUUUUAAAACAAAAUAUAUAAAAGUUAUCUCAAAUUUACCUACUAAUAUUUAAAAUAUUGGAUAUUUUAUUUAAAACAUUAUAAAAUAUAUUAACAUAUAUAAUAUUUAAUCAUAUUUUUUAAAAGCAGAAUAUAUAAAAGUUAUCUCAAAUUUAAAAUAUUGGAUAUUUUAUUUAAAUUAUUAUAAAAUAUAUUAAUUCUUAGUCAAUAAAUCUAAUUGACUGACGAAUACAAAAUAUCUGUCACUUUUUUUAUCUAAAUUGCCCUCAAAUAGUACGUAUCAAAUUUUACUUUUUAUAUGCAUGUCAUAUCUUCUAAUAACCGUCGCCCACAUAAUAUCAUAUUUUAUCACAAAUAAUAUUCGCAUAUCUUAAUUUUUUUUUUCCCACACAUAAUAUCAUCACCUAUAUAAUAUCCAAUCACAUAAUACCUUCCGCAUAUAUAAUAUUAAAUCAUAUUUUUUUAAAGCAAAAUAUAUAAAAGUUAUCUCAAAUUUACCUACUAAUAUUUAAAAUUUUGGAUAUUUUAUUUAAAUUAUUAUAAAAAAUAUUAACAUAUAUAAUAUUUAAUCAUAUUUUUUUAAAGGUAAAUAUAUAAAAGUUAUCUCAAAUUUACCUACUAAUAUUUAAAAUUUUGGAUAUUUUAUUUAAAUUAUUAUAAAAAAUAUUAACAUAUAUAAUAUUUAAUCAUAUUUUUGUAAAGGUGAAUAUAUAAAAGCUAUCUCAAAUUUACCUACUAAUAUUUAAAAUAUUAAAUAUUUUUUAAAAUUAUUAUAAAAUAUAUUGAUUCUUAGUUAUUAGAUCUAAUCUAAUGAUUGACAAAUACAAAAUAUUUGUCACUUUUUUUAUCUAAAUUGCCCUCACAUAUAAAUAUAAAAAUUAUCUAUCUGUCACGCCCCGGGGUCCCUUUUUAGUUUAAAUUAUAGCGGAAAAGCGUCUGAAAUUUUUUUUUUG